GGCAGAUCGAUACCGAACUCGAUGUCUCGAUCGCCCGCCGCGGGCACCAGUUCCGCAUCCAGGGUGCACAGGACAACGCGCAGGCAGCGCUUGCGGUGCUCGAGCAUUUCCUCGAGCGCGCGCGACGGACGCGCCGCCCGGUGUCCGUCGACGACAUCCAGCUUUACUUCGUCGAAUUGCGUGGCAGGCGUGGCGCGCUGCCCGGCGAGCCGGGCGAACGGCUGCCACAGCUGCAGACCCGUCGCACCGACCUGCACGGACGAACGCCGCGCCAGCGCGAGUACAUCGAAGCGAUGCUCGCGCAUGACAUUACGAUCGGCAUCGGACCGGCCGGAACCGGCAAGACCUAUCUCGCGGUCGCGGCCGCGGUCGACGCACUCGAGCGCGAGAUCGCCAAACGCAUCGUUCUGACGCGGCCUGCGGUGGAGGCGGGCGAAAGGCUCGGCUUCCUGCCGGGAGACUUGGCACAGAAGGUCGAUCCCUACCUGCGGCCGCUGUACGACGCGCUGUUUGACCUGCUCGGCUUCGACAAGACACAGCGGCUGCUCGAGCGGCAGACGAUCGAGAUCGCGCCGCUCGCCUACAUGCGCGGCCGCACGCUGAACCAGGCGUUCGUGAUCCUCGACGAGGCACAGAACACGACGCGCGAGCAGAUGAAGAUGUUUCUGACCCGGAUCGGCUUCGGCUCGAAAGCCGUCGUCACCGGGGACGUCACCCAGAUCGACCUGCCGCGCGGGACGACGAGCGGGUUGAUCGAAGCGCAGCAUGUGCUCGCGGAAGUGCGCGGCAUCGCCUUCACAUAUUUCACUGCGGCCGACGUCGUGCGGCAUCCGCUCGUCGGUCGCAUCGUCGAGGCUUAUGAAGCGGCGGAGGAGCGCCUGGAAGCCACAGGCCGCGACCGGCCCGCGGUCGAGAUCGCCCGUCGCCGCCGAUCCGGCUGAUGCCAGUGCUGGCGCUUGCAUUGCAGGGGCACU
rnacentral:misc_RNA from 1 species